rnacentral:rRNA from 1 species
CAGCAGCCGCGGUAAUACGAAGGGUGCAAGCGUUAAUCGGAAUUACUGGGCGUAAAGCGUGCGUAGGCGGUGAGUUAAGUCUGCUGUGAAAUCCCCGGGCUCAACCUGGGAAUGGCAGUGGAUACUGGCUCGCUAGAGUGUGUCAGAGGAUGGUGGAAUUCCCGGUGUAGCGGUGAAAUGCGUAGAGAUCGGGAGGAACAUCAGUGGCGAAGGCGGCCAUCUGGGACAACACUGACGCUGAGGCACGAAAGCGUGGGGAGCAAACAGGAUUAGAUCCCGCGUAGUCCCUGUCUCUUAUACA